rnacentral:rRNA from 1 species
CCGGAGCUUGCUCCACCGGAAAAAGAGGAGUGGCGAACGGGUGAGUAACACGUGGGUAACCUGCCCAUCAGAAGGGGAUAACACUUGGAAACAGGUGCUAAUACCGUAUAACAAUCRAAACCGCAUGGUUUUGAUUUGAAAGGCGCUUUCGGGUGUCGCUGAUGGAUGGACCCGCGGUGCAUUAGCUAGUUGGUGAGGUAACGGCUCACCAAGGCCACGAUGCAUAGCCGACCUGAGAGGGUGAUCGGCCACAUUGGGACUGAGACACGGCCCAAACUCCUACGGGAGGCAGCAGUAGGGAAUCUUCGGCAAUGGACGAAAGUCUGACCGAGCAACGCCGCGUGAGUGAAGAAGGUUUUCGGAUCGUAAAACUCUGUUGUUAGAGAAGAACAAGGAUGAGAGUAACUGUUCAUCCCUUGACGGUAUCUAACCAGAAAGCCACGGCUAACUACGUGCCAGCAGCCGCGGUAAUACGUAGGUGGCAAGCGUUGUCCGGAUUUAUUGGGCGUAAAGCGAGCGCAGGCGGUUUCUUAAGUCUGAUGUGAAAGCCCCCGGCUCAACCGGGGAGGGUCAUUGGAAACUGGGAGACUUGAGUGCAGAAGAGGAGAGUGGAAUUCCAUGUGUAGCGGUGAAAUGCGUAGAUAUAUGGAGGAACACCAGUGGCGAAGGCGGCUCUCUGGUCUGUAACUGACGCUGAGGCUCGAAAGCGUGGGGAGCAAACAGGAUUAGAUACCCUGGUAGUCCACGCCGUAAACGAUGAGUGCUAAGUGUUGGAGGGUUUCCGCCCUUCAGUGCUGCAGCUAACGCAUUAAGCACUCCGCC